GCCAGUGAUGAUGGCCGAUUUGCACAGAGGAUAUCUUCGUCUCAUCCUAAGAAGUCGGUAUGAAUGUCUAAUGACUGUUCUAUAUAAUUAAUAGAGGUAAAAGAAUCAAUAAAAGUAUAUGAUUUGUUUUUUAAAUUUUUCCACUUAUCAAUCUUACAUUUUAUAACAAUACGUUCUGAAUAAUAAAAGAAGUUAUCAAAUAAAGCAAUCUAAAAAAGAAAUCAAUUAUGCAACGAGCGAGAAAAGGUGGCAAAGACAAAAAGAGAAUGGAUGAUAGGAGGUAGGCCUGAAAAAAGGGGGCAGAGAGAGAGAUGAAAUAAGAGAAAGAAGAAAAAGUUCAUAUAUAAGCACACAAAGAUAAGAAGGAAAACAAAAUGAUAAAAAUGGAAAGAUAUCAGUCACCAUAUGUAACCUACAUAUAUAUCCAAAUGAAAAGUAUUCACCAGGAUUAUUAUGAAAUUUAAUUACUUUUUCAAAAAACGUCAUAUCUAGUCAACAUUGUCUUCGAGAAGGAUAGGUCCUUAUCAUAAAUGCAUUUUUCUUUAGGCUAACUCCCUAAGGAGAUGACAACCGCCUCAAAAAUCUUAAACGGCAAAAGGGGUUGGGAGGCAUAUCAUUUGAAACGCCUUAUAUUCUUUUUACAACUGUAUCAUUUUUUCCAUUUUAAAUCGAUAGUUAUUGAAGAAAUGCGAUUUUAAUUUUCUGGUAGAUAACAACUUUUAUUUUAUUAAAUGUUAAAAAGGUUCAAACGUAAUUUAUAAAACUAGUUCUUAUUUUGUUUCUAAUGACUGGACGAAUUAAACAUGUAAAAUGAUUGA